CACAUGGUCUGAACAGAGGUACUGAGGUCUGGUUCAUGGUACAUGACCAUGUACUUUGAGUCCUUUAGUUGCUGAAUUAUGUUUGUGCUUUUAGUUUGUUUGAUUUCAGUUUGCACUUUAACCUGACUGUUGGUGUCCACUGAAACCUGGAUAAAUGUACCUGCACAGGUGUGAGUGGCUGCAGUGUGUGAACAGGAAGACGAUGGCAUGUGCAACAAUUCCUCUUUCUUGUAUUGGAGACACAAUCAGCUGCUGGUUUUGUCUUUUUAGAGUUCGGUUUGGUCAGCAUUUUCAUUGUUGAUUGUAAUUAAAGAGAUUUUAGAAGAACCAAAGACAUUUUAGUAGAACCAGUAGUAGUUUUAAUCAUUUCUUUGUCUUUCUCUCAUCCCCUAUAGUGCAGUAGUGGCUGGUUAAGCACGUUGGGUGGUUCCCUACACCUUUUUGUCGCAGUGGUGGGCAUACAGGAGCACCGUAGUCUACACCUGUCUGGAGUGAGUUCAGGUGUGGUGGGUGAGUUCACUCCUGGGACACUCUCUCCCACUCCCUUUUGUUAGUUUUUUACUGGAAGUGUUUUAUUGGUUAAUUGUUAAAAAUAAUGAUUUGCAAUAAACUUUCUAAUCAAUUUAUUCAAUAAAAGACUCAAACUUUCUUCACUGACUCCUUUGUUUUCUUUCAGCGGACUCUUCAUUUAUUUUAAAUCUAAUGUUAUAAAUAAAUGUUGAUUUAAAC